ACUCUUGAAACAGCAAAACGAUGAGCAGGAGUUUGGUUUUGAGCCACAGUUUCAGAUACCAGCCACAGAUGCCUCUGCCCUAUCUCACUACAUGCUCUUUUCUAAGAAACACAUUCAAUGGUUGUAUUAAGUACUAAGGUGGGAAGAAAUGACCUGCUCACCACCAUCCACCCUCCUUCCUUCUUCUUCCAUGUGAACCCACAGUAGCAGACGCUGUAAACUGGAAGGACGGGUUGCGCAGAACGACAUUUGGAGUAAACUUAAAAAGUCUGUACCAGAAUCUGGCUCCCAUACUCAAGGCCCGUGGCUCCAGAAGUGAUCUGCCUGGAGCUGUGUGUUAUGCCUCAGUAUGGACACCACUGGUUCCCCAUCAUGUGCUACAAGUAUGUGCUGAAUAAGUACCUG